GGACUACCCGGGUAUCUAAUCCUGUUUGCUCCCCGCGCUUUCGUGCCUCAGCGUCAGUUACAGUUUAGUGAGCUGCCUUCGCAAUCGGUGUUCUGUGUCAUAUCUAAGCAUUUCACCGCUACAUGACACAUUCCGCCCACUUCAAAUGUACUCAAGACCGUCAGUAUCAAUGGCCAUUUCCAUGUUAGGCAUGGAGCUUUCACCACUGACUUAACAGCCCGCCUACGCACCCUUUAAACCCAAUAAAUCCGGAUAACGCUUGGGACCUUCGUAUUACCGCGGCGGCUGGCAC
rnacentral:rRNA from 2 species